GACGGGGGGGGCAAGCGUUGUUCGGAAUUACUGGGCGUAAAGGGCUCGUAGGUGGCCAACUAAGUCAGACGUGAAAUCCCUCAGCUUAACUGGGGAACUGCGUCUGAUACUGGAUGGCUUGAGUUUGGGAGAGGGAUGCGGAAUUCCAGGUGUAGCGGUGAAAUGCGUAGAUAUCUGGAGGAACACCGGUGGCGAAGGCGGCAUCCUGGACCAAUACUGACACUGAGGAGCGAAAGCCAGGGGAGCAAACGGG
rnacentral:rRNA from 1 species